AGUGAACGCUGGCGGUAGGCCUAACACAUGCAAGUCGAACGGCAGCACAGUAAGAGCUUGCUCUUACGGGUGGCGAGUGGCGGACGGGUGAGGAAUACAUCGGAAUCUACUUUUUCGUGGGGGAUAACGUAGGGAAACUUACGCUAAUACCGCAUACGACCUACGGGUGAAAGCAGGGGAUCUUCGGACCUUGCGCGAUUGAAUGAGCCGAUGUCGGAUUAGCUAGUUGGCGGGGUAAAGGCCCACCAAGGCGACGAUCCGUAGCUGGUCUGAGAGGAUGGUCGGCCACACUAGAACUGAGACACGGUCCAGACUACUACGGGAGGCAGCAGUGGGGAAUAUUGGACAAUAGGCGCAAGCCUGAUCCAGCCAUACCGCGUGGGUGAAGAAGGCCUUCGGGUUGUAAAGCCCUUUUGUUGGGAAAGAAAAGCAGCAGGUUAAUACCCCGCUGUUCUGACGGUACCCAAAGAAUAAGCACCGGCUAACUUCGUG
rnacentral:rRNA from 1 species